rnacentral:piRNA from 1 species
UGCAGAACAUAAUAACUGAACUAUGAUGGGU